CACUAAGGAAGGAAAUUGGAAUCAUGCUUGCUGGAAGUUCACCCCAAUAAACAUUGAAUUGUUUGCACCUUUGGACUUUGGGUAUUGUUGCUCUCUGUUCAUGCAAGAAGGACCACGGAAGUAAAUGGAUGAAGGAAUAAGCCUCCUAACAGAGGCAGAGCAUGCAAG